rnacentral:lncRNA from 1 species
UUUUUUUGGACCUGUGGGUCUCUGUCGGGUACCUAAAGUACCCUGAAUGUUUUGUUCAUAUUAUGUAUAUUUGAGUAAUUCAUAUAUGUUUUCAGUAUAAAAAUAUUAUUGUAAAAUUUGGAUUCGCAUUUUCUGUUAUAAUUUCAAGUUUUGGGUAAAAUUUCAAAAUAUAUUUAAAAUAUUGGAUAUUUUUGGUUUGUGGGUAAGAUUUUGGUCUUUUAGAUAUUUAGUUAUUUCUGGUAUUUUUUUUUUAUUUU